AUACAUGCAGUCGAGCGAACAGAUAAGGAGCUUGCUCCUUUGACGUUAGCGGCGGACGGGUGAGUAACACGUGGGUAACCUACCUAUAAGACUGGAAUAACUCCGGGAAACCGGGGCUAAUGCCGGAUAACAUAUAGAACCGCAUGGUUCUAUAGUGAAAGAUGGUUUUGCUAUCACUUAUAGAUGGACCCGCGCCGUAUUAGCUAGUUGGUAAGGUAAUGGCUUACCAAGGCGACGAUACGUAGCCGACCUGAGAGGGUGAUCGGCCACACUGGAACUGAGACACGGUCCAGACUCCUACGGGAGGCAGCAGUAGGGAAUCUUCCGCAAUGGGCGAAAGCCUGACGGAGCAACGCCGCGUGAGUGAUGAAGGGUUUCGGCUCGUAAAACUCUGUUAUUAGGGAAGAACAUAUGUGUAAGUAACUGUGCACAUCUUGACGGUACCUAAUAGAAAGCCACGGCUAACUACGUGCCAGCAGCCGCGGUAAUACGUAGGUGGCAAGCGUUAUCCGGAAUUAUUGGGCGUAAAGCGCGCGUAGGCGGUUUCUUAAGUCUGAUGUGAAAGCCCACGGCUCAACCGUGGAGGGUCAUUGGAAACUGGGAAACUUGAGUGCAGAAGAGGAAAGUGGAAUUCCAUGUGUAGCGGUGAAAUGCGCAGAGAUAUGGAGGAACACCAGUGGCGAAGGCGACUUUCUGGUCUGUAACUGACGCUGAUGUGCGAAAGCGUGGGGAUCAAACAGGAUUAGAUACCCUGGUAGUCCACGCCGUAAACGAUGAGUGCUAAGUGUUAGGGGGUUUCCGCCCCUUAGUGCUGCAGCUAACGCAUUAAGCACUCCGCCUGGGGAGUACGACCGCAAGGUUGAAACUCAAAGGAAUUGACGGGGACCCGCACAAGCGGUGGAGCAUGUGGUUUAAUUCGAAGCAACGCGAAGAACCUUACCAAAUCUUGACAUCCUUUGACCACUCUAGAGAUAGAGCUUUCCCCUUCGGGGGACAAAGUGACAGGUGGUGCAUGGUUGUCGUCAGCUCGUGUCGUGAGAUGUUGGGUUAAGUCCCGCAACGAGCGCAACCCUUAAGCUUAGUUGCCAUAUUAAGUUGGGCACUCUAGGUUGACUGCCGGUGACAAACCGGAGGAAGGUGGGGAUGACGUCAAAUCAUCAUGCCCCUUAUGAUUUGGGCUACACACGUGCUACAAUGGACAAUACAAAGGGCAGCUAAACCGCGAGGUCAUGCAAAUCCCAUAAAGUUGUUCUCAGUUCGGAUUGUAGUCUGCAACUCGACUACAUGAAGCUGGAAUCGCUAGUAAUCGUAGAUCAGCAUGCUACGGUGAAUACGUUCCCGGGUCUUGUACACACCGCCCGUCACACCACGAGAGUUUGUAACACCCGAAGCCGGUGGAGUAACCAUUUAUGGAGCUAGCCGUCGAA
rnacentral:rRNA from 1 species